rnacentral:lncRNA from 1 species
CGGUAAGAGAACCGGUAUGAAUGGAGGUAACCAAGCAACGGAAAUAAACGAUCGAUGCAUAAUUCAAAUUCCUCAGCGCCGGAGGUCGCACCACACGGAGGUCCGCGUUGCAAAAAUUCCGCCGACCGCAACGGCCGCACGCCGUCCGUCCCGACGUGAUCCGAAGUGCUCCCGCCGUUCGACGUCAUGGCGCCAACGUGCAACCUUUUCAAGUCAGAUAAAUAUUUCGGUUCGAACGCUCAAUUCCGCGAGAGCUUGCGGAAGCCGACACCCGGCCCGAACCCGACGAAGCGAGCGGCAUCGUAUCCUCGCGUGGUCCCGGCGUUCACGAUCCAGGCUUACCAAAGGAACACAGUCACGGACGCACCUCCAAAGAGCAAAAGAUCCAGACAGCACAAAGUUGGCAACACCGCAUUCAGGAAAUACUACGCAAGAGGCGACUUCCCGAUAUCCAUGGAGUUCGAUACGUACGGCAACAAGAUCUCUUGGAAGGUCCCCGAAGGAAAAUUGGAUUAUCAUCACUACCUACCAAUGUUUUU